rfam:Physcomitrella patens subsp. patens PHYPAscaffold_37 genomic scaffold, whole genome shotgun sequence.
GCCUCUUCCUGCCUCUCACUAGCUUCAUCCCUCAGAAGCUGAAUCUUCUCAGGGAAGGAGCUACUGAAGAGCAGGAAUAGAU